GAACGCUAGCUACAGGCUUAACACAUGCAAGUCGAGGGGCAGCAUGGUCUUAGCUUGCUAAGGCCGAUGGCGACCGGCGCACGGGUGAGUAACACGUAUCCAACCUGCCGUCUACUCUUGGACAGCCUUCUGAAAGGAAGAUUAAUACAAGAUGGCAUCAUGAGUCCGCAUGUUCACAUGAUUAAAGGUAUUCCGGUAGACGAUGGGGAUGCGUUCCAUUAGAUAGUAGGCGGGGUAACGGCCCACCUAGUCUUCGAUGGAUAGGGGUUCUGAGAGGAAGGUCCCCCACAUUGGAACUGAGACACGGUCCAAACUCCUACGGGAGGCAGCAGUGAGGAAUAUUGGUCAAUGGGCGAGAGCCUGAACCAGCCAAGUAGCGUGAAGGAUGACUGCCCUAUGGGUUGUAAACUUCUUUUAUAAAGGAAUAAAGUCGGGUAUGGAUACCCGUUUGCAUGUACUUUAUGAAUAAGGAUCGGCUAACUCCGUGCCAGCAGCCGCGGUAAUACGGAGGAUCCGAGCGUUAUCCGGAUUUAUUGGGUUUAAAGGGAGCGUAGAUGGAUGUUUAAGUCAGUUGUGAAAGUUUGCGGCUCAACCGUAAAAUUGCAGUUGAUACUGGAUAUCUUGAGUGCAGUUGAGGCAGGCGGAAUUCGUGGUGUAGCGGUGAAAUGCUUAGAUAUCACGAAGAACUCCGAUUGCGAAGGCAGCCUGCUAAGCUGCAACUGACAUUGAGGCUCGAAAGUGUGGGUAUCAAACAGGAUUAGAUACCCUGGUAGUCCACGCGGUAAACGAUGAAUACUCGCUGUUUGCGAUAUACGGCAAGCGGCCAAGCGAAAGCGUUAAGUAUUCCACCUGGGGAGUACGCCGGCAACGGUGAAACUCAAAGGAAUUGACGGGGGCCCGCACAAGCGGAGGAACAUGUGGUUUAAUUCGAUGAUACGCGAGGAACCUUACCCGGGCUUAAAUUGCAGAUGAAUUACGGUGAAAGCCGUAAGCCGCAAGGCAUCUGUGAAGGUGCUGCAUGGUUGUCGUCAGCUCGUGCCGUGAGGUGUCGGCUUAAGUGCCAUAACGAGCGCAACCCUUGUUGUCAGUUACUAACAGGUUCUGCUGAGGACUCUGACAAGACUGCCAUCGUAAGAUGUGAGGAAGGUGGGGAUGACGUCAAAUCAGCACGGCCCUUACGUCCGGGGCUACACACGUGUUACAAUGGGGGGUACAGAGGGCCGCUACCACGCGAGUGGAUGCCAAUCCCCAAAACCUCUCUCAGUUCGGACUGGAGUCUGCAACCCGACUCCACGAAGCUGGAUUCGCUAGUAAUCGCGCAUCAGCCACGGCGCGGUGAAUACGUUCCCGGGCCUUGUACACACCGCCCGUCAAGCCAUGGGAGCCGGGGGUACCUGAAGUGCGUAACCGCGAGGAGCGCCCUAGGGUAAAACUGGUGACUGG
rnacentral:rRNA from 1 species